CAUGGCCUGCAGCAGUACUACGUGAAGCUGAAGGACAGCGAGAAGAACCGCAAGCUCUUCGACCUCCUGGACGUGUUGGAGUUCAACCAGGUGA
rnacentral:miRNA from 1 species